CAAUAGCGUAUAUUUAAGUUGUUGCAGUUAAAAAGCUCGUAGUUGGAUUUCGGUUAAGAGCGACCGGUCCGCCGUUUGGUGUGCACUGGUUGGUUUUAACUUCCUGUAGAGGACGUGCUCUGGGUUUAACGACCUGGACUCGGAGUCUACGUGGUUACUUUGAAAAAAUUAGAGUGUUCAAAGCGGGCUUACGCUUGAAUAUUUCAGCAUGGAAUAACACUAUAGGACUCCUGUCCUAUUUCGUUGGUCUCGGGACGGGAGUAAUGAUUAAGAGGAACAGUUGGGGGCAUUCGUAUUUCAUUGUCAGAGGUGAAAUUCUCGGAUUUAUGAAAGACGAACUUCUGCGAAAGCAUUUGCCAAGGAUGUUUUCAUUAA
rnacentral:rRNA from 1 species